rnacentral:rRNA from 1 species
GAUGAACGCUGGCGGCGUGCCUAAUACAUGCAAGUCGAGCGAACGGAUUAAGAGCUUGCUCUUAUGAAGUUAGCGGCGGACGGGUGAGUAACACGUGGGUAACCUGCCCAUAAGACUGGGAUAACUCCGGGAAACCGGGGCUAAUACCGGAUAAUAUUUUGAACUGCAUAGUUCGAAAUUGAAAGGCGGCUUCGGCUGUCACUUAUGGAUGGACCCGCGUCGCAUUAGCUAGUUGGUGAGGUAACGGCUCACCAAGGCAACGAUGCGUAGCCGACCUGAGAGGGUGAUCGGCCACACUGGGACUGAGACACGGCCCAGACUCCUACGGAGGCAGCAGUAGGGAAUCUUCCGCAAUGGGCGAAAGCCUGACGCAGCGACGCCGCGUGGGUGAUGAA